rnacentral:rRNA from 1 species
AUUGAACGCUGGCGGCAGGCCUAACACAUGCAAGUCGAGCGGAUGAAGGGAGCUUGCUCCUGGAUUCAGCGGCGGACGGGUGAGUAAUGCCUAGGAAUCUGCCUGGUAGUGGGGGAUAACGUCCGGAAACGGGCGCUAAUACCGCAUACGUCCUGAGGGAGAAAGUGGGGGAUCUUCGGACCUCACGCUAUCAGAUGAGCCUAGGUCGGAUUAGCUAGUUGGUGGGGUAAAGGCCUACCAAGGCGACGAUCCGUAACUGGUCUGAGAGGAUGAUUAGUCACACUGGAACUGAGACACGGUCCAGACUCCUACGGGAGGCAGCAGUGGGGGAUAUUGGACAAUGGGCGAAAGCCUGAUCCAGCCAUGCCGCGUGUGUGAAGAAGGUCUUCGGAUUGUAAAGCACUUUAAGUUGGGAGGAAGGGCAGUAAGUUAAUACCUUGCUGUUUUGACGUUACCAACAGAAUAAGCACCGGCUAACUUCGUG